rnacentral:rRNA from 1 species
UACGAAGGGGGCUAGCGUUGUUCGGAAUUACUGGGCGUAAAGGGCGCGUAGGCGGUACUUCAAGUCAGGCGUGAAAGCCCCGGGCUCAACCUGGGAACCGCGCUUGAGACUGGAGAACUAGAGUUCGGGAGAGGAUGGUGGAAUUCCCAGUGUAGAGGUGAAAUUCGUAGAUAUUGGGAAGAACACCGAUGGCGAAGGCAGCACUCUGGGACGGUACUGACGCUGAGACGCGAAAGCGUGGGGAGCGAACAGG